rnacentral:rRNA from 1 species
GAUGAACGCUGACAGAAUGCUUAACACAUGCAAGUCUACUUGAACUUCGGUCUGGGUGGCGGACGGGUGAGUAACGCGUAAAGAACUUGCCUCACAGUUAGGGACAACAUUUGGAAACGAAUGCUAAUACCUGAUAUUAUGAUUUUAGGGCAUCCUAGGAUUAUGAAAGCUAUAUGUGCUGUGAGAGAGCUUUGCGUCCCAUUAGCUAGUUGGAGAGGUAACGGCUCACCAAGGCGAUGAUGGGUAGCCGGCCUGAGAGGGUGAACGGCCACAAGGGGACUGAGACACGGCCCUUACUCCUACGGGAGGCAGCAGUGGGGAAUAUUGGACAAUGGACCAAAAGUCUGAUCCAGCAAUUCUGUGUGCACGAUGACGUUUUUCGGAAUGUAAAGUGCUUUCAGUUGGGAAGAAAAAAAUGACGGUACCAACAGAAGAAGUGACGGCUAAAUACGUG